rnacentral:rRNA from 1 species
UACGUAGGGUGCGAGCGUUAAUCGGAAUUACUGGGCGUAAAGCGUGCGCAGGCGGUUCGCUGUGUCCGAUGUGAAAGCCCCGGGCUUAACCUGGGAAUGGCAUUGGAAACUGGCGGGCUUGAGUGCGGCAGAGGGGGGUGGAAUUCCGCGUGUAGCAGUGAAAUGCGUAGAGAUGCGGAGGAACACCGAUGGCGAAGGCAAUCCCCUGGGCCUGUACUGACGCUCAUGCACGAAAGCGUGGGGAGCAAACAGG